rnacentral:rRNA from 1 species
AAGGGGUGUCCGUUAAUAGCGUGCAUCUUUGACGUUAGCUGCAGAAGAAGCACCGGCUAACUCCGUGCCAGCAGCCGCGGUAAUACGGAGGGUGCGAGCGUUAAUCGGAAUUACUGGGCGUAAAGCGCAUGCAGGUGGUUUGUUAAGUCAGAUGUGAAAGCCCGGGGCUCAACCUCGGAAUUGCAUUUGUAAACUAGGCAGACUAGAGUACUGUAGAGGGGGGUAGGAAUUUCAGGUGUAGCGGUGAAAUAGCGUAGAGAUCUGAAGGAAUACCGGUGGCGAAGGCGGCCCCCUCGGACAGAUACUGACACUCAGAUGCGAAAGCGUGGGGAGCAAACAGGAUUAGAUACCCUGGUAG